ACGGUGUUUCCCCGAUCCAGACCUUUCUUUCCCCUCUGCGCCAAAGUCUUCUUCCCCCAACCCAUCUCGAUCCCGAUCCUCCCUUCUUCUCGUUCUCUUCCACGGACGAGUCAACGUCGAGGCUGGAGAGCACAUUACCGGAGCUCGACGCAAGGGAGUCACCGGAGCUCGACAGAAACCAACGGGGUCUAGGUUAUCUUCGGUCGAGGGAUCUCCAUUCGGUGGAUUUGGUGAUCGUUCGUCGACGAUCGAUGGCUGGGGCACAGCGGGAGGCUUGAUUAGCAUCGUUCCCUAACCGACCUUCGUCCCUCUUUCCCGAGCUGCUCACAGAGCGAUCUGCAUCCUCACUGGCCGGAUCAGACCGAGCGAUGCCAUCGGCGAGGAGUGAUCUUGGGGGUCUUUACCUUCGGCUCCGAUCAAUUGUCACCGCACGAAGCUGUGUCCUGACGGUGAUCAUUGAGGUCACGAGAUUGGGUGUGUUGAAUUGUUGAUCUCAUCUCUUGUGAUCGGAUUAACUUCAAUGAAAUGAGGAUCUGGAUUGUGAGGUGAACCCAGCAGAGAGGAUCUGUAGGCUGUGAAGUUCUGUUCUGUCUUGUUUUGUGGAUUGGUUGGCUCCAGUAGCAGCUCACCUUGGUUACGGUAGCCACCUCAUCCAGCAGAUCUUCUGAUUUCAGUAGUUACAGCAGUUGAGAUUGAGGUUGAGGCCGUCAGGAGAUAUUCCAGUCGCUAGCCCCAUUAUCGCGAGGAUUUUCGUUGUCG